rnacentral:lncRNA from 1 species
GUGCCUACUUGGGAAGAAUUAGUUGGAGUUCCACAGAAGUAUAUGAAUGUUUCAGAACCCAUGUAGGUCUCACAAGAAAUUUGGGAAAUUUGAAAUGUAAUCAACCCCAGAGAAAUUUCUGGUGAUUUCUAAAUCAGGGUUGCAGAUGAAAUAAAGCUAUACCCACAUGUGGAAUUUCCCCAAAGCUUUUUGAAGGUUCUGUGCCUCCAUAAUGGCAGAGAUGAUCUAACUUGAAUAAUCUAGAACUCUCACUAAAUUCUGUCAUCCAUCAUUUUCCAGAUUCAGAUGACUUCAUGACUUGGGGUUCCUGGUUGGCAAAGCAUUGAUCCUUGCAUGUUUGACCUUCCCACACAGUCAGGAGGAAGCCAGGACCAUAGAGACCUUGGCAUUUCCACAGAGUUCCUCUGAUGUUAGGGUAGGAGCUAUCAUUAUUCUCAUUGUGGAUGAAGAAACUGAAGCUGAAAGAAUGUGAUUUUCCCAGGGUCACCCAACUGGUUAAGCGUUUGACGUAUUAUCUGAACUGAGAUCCAGCAGACUCUCGUCUCAUUCUCUAACCACUGUUCU